rnacentral:rRNA from 1 species
CAGUAGCCACGGUAAUACAGAGGGUGCGAGCGUUAAUCGGAAUUACUGGGCGUAAAGGGCGCGUAGGCGGUUAGGAAGGUGUGAUGUGAAAGCCCUGGGCUUAACCUAGGAAGUGCAUCGCAAACCAACUAGCUGGAGUAUAAGAGAGGGUGGCGGAAUUUCCGGUGUAGCGGUGAAAUGCGUAGAGAUCGGAAGGAACGUCAAUGGCGAAGGCAGCCACCUGGCUUAAUACUGACGCUGAGGCGCGAAAGCGUGGGGAGCGAACAGGAUUAGAUACCCCCGUAGUCCCUGUCUCUUAUAC